GUGCAUUGUAGUUGCAUUGCAUGUUUUGGCAGUACCCGUGCAAUGUUUCUGCAGUGCAGCA
rnacentral:pre_miRNA from 1 species